GGAUUAACCAUUGCAGAAUUUGCAAGUUUUCCUCAGGACAAUAUUGCCAGAGGGCUGCAAGUCCGGCCUGCCUGCAUUCAACCUCAGGGCUUAGAACACAUAGAUGGUUGUGAGCACUGUUGGUAUUUUUUCUAACCCAGCACGCCUUGUUACAAGUCUUGAGGAAGCUGUCUCUAUAGCACACCAACCGAGGCAACAGUAUGUGAUACGAGAGGCUUCAAAACAAUACAGUGACGAUCUGUUGCUUGAGGAACUUUACAGCUAAUUCCAGGAUAUCGGCUUUCUCUGGCUUGGAAUCAGGCUGGAGGAGCUGGAAUUCCUUCUCCAAGAGAUUCUGGAGCUGGUUAAUGCUGCUGUUGAUGCGGUCUCUGCGCAUUUUCUCCACCAUUGGUUUCCUUAUCUAGAAUGAAAAGGUAAAAUGUUUAUUUUAUUACCCAAAUGCUGGGCAUGUUGCAACAUACUGGAUAAAACACAACCUGAAAAAGAAA